GCCGCAGCCGCUCGCUCGCCGGCACCUGCACCCUGCUCUCGCGCUUGCCUUCCCGUCCGGGAGUAGAAAUGCUACGACCUUAAGCAAGUAUGUUUUCGGAGACAUAAACGAAAAAGACGAGGGGGCUACGACUGUCCGAGCGAGCGCCGAGGCACAGAAACGCGAACUGGCCCAGAGCAACCGGGCUCGGCGCAGAGACGCUUGUUACCAGCCCGGAGAGGCCACCGCCAUGGGUCUGCGGAAAGCGGAGCUCUUCUUCAAAGACAGGGUGAUAAACCGCUUCAAAUUAUAUCGAAAAACUAUUCAAAUCCUCAGUUAUUUUCUGUGGACCUGUCCUCACUGAAAUGCCGAUUGUAAGCAAAACCAAAAACUUGAAUUUAUUGAUGUAAGUCCUGUUCAAAGAGGCCAACAGGAGUAUGAGACACACAACGAUGACAUUACUUGGCGAUGCAACCACUACGCCAUGCUUUGCGGAGACGUUCUAAUGAAUUUCUCUUUUUUAAGUGCAAAAUGUAGCCAAGCAACUUCCCCUACAGCUAGCAAUCCCAGAUAAUAUGGUUACUUUCCUAAUGUAAAGUUUCCUGGUGAUGUAUCAUCUAAAACAGUAUCCACAAGGUUUCCGAUUGUGUCACAUAAACAGCAGAACAUAACCCGGCUAAAGAACUGUUAAGUCUCUUUAUAGGCAAACAGUUUCCAUUCAGAGAGCAGGACCACACUCUGGAUUCUUGUUUAAGGUCAGAGUAGUGAUGGUCCUCGGGGGAGCACAAAACAAGAGAGGCUUCUGGGGGUGUUGAUAAUAUUCUGUUUCUCAAGCUGGGUGCUGGUUACACAG